GAGGGUAUAGCUCAGUGGUAGAGUGUGUGUUUAGCAUGCACUGAGUUCAAUCCCCAGUACCUCCA
rnacentral:tRNA from 1 species